UGGCCCAUCACGUGCCCGGUGCCUGCCGAGGAGGACACACUGGAAACCGACACAAUAGUAGUCGUGAUAAUCUUAGCUAUUUUUCUUGUAAUCAUCUUGGAGGGAACAUUGUAUGACGUCAUCAUCACGAUCAGAUCAAAAAGAAAUAAAGAAAAUGGAAAGCCGGUAGAAAAUGGAGAAGUGGCAGAAAAUGGAAAACCGAUAGAGAAUGGAAACACUUUUCCAGAAAACAGCUAUAAAUUGAGAGCUGAGAACGGCAACGUCCAGCAUAUCGAACCCGAGAAAAAACAUUUACAAAAACCGGGUAUCUUUGGUCGACUGGUUCUGUGUUUCAGUGCCUAUACCAACGGUAAGAAGAUACUGGGUACCUCUCAGCCCAAGGGCAGUCUGACGGCCGUCAACGGGAUCCGAUUCCUCAGCAUGAGCUGGGUCAUUUUGGGACACACCCUCGCUUUCGUCUUGGGAUCUACGUCCAACAUGCUCCAAUAUUACAACAAGUUUGUCAACCGUGCAGCCUCUGAAGCUAUCGUCAAUGCUCUUUUUUCAGUGGAUACUUUCUUCGUUCUGAGUGGUCUGCUGACGUCGUAUCUGCUAUUGAAACAAAUGAAAAAAUCUAAGGGAUGGAUCAACUGGGGUUUAUUUUAUUUCCACCGCUACUGGAGACUGACCCCAGUGUACAUGAUUGUCAUAGGAAUGUACGUUACUAUUUAUCCCCACUUGAUCUUUGGACCAAAAAGAGGAAAACCCGACGAGGUCUGCAGGGAAUCAUGGUGGAAAAACCUUCUCUACAUUGACAAUUUUUUUGGACUUAAAGACCUGUGCCUUGGCUGGUCAUGGUACCUAAACAAUGACAUGCAGUUCUACAUCUUAAGCCCACUUCUUAUUGUACCAUUUUUCUUCAACCAGAUCGUUGGGAUUAUAGUCAGCGUAUGUUUCUUGUUGGCUGCGACCAUUACUCCAGGAGUGCUUAGUUACGUCAAGAAUCUCCCAGCCCACACCAUUGGUGGAGGUCCAAAGGACGCUGACCGAGCUGCUUAUUUUGAGGAUUAUUACAUUGUUCCUUAUUGUCGAAUGGGACCGUACAUCUGUGGAGUGAUCACCGGCUACAUACUGUACAGGACGAAAUGCAAAUGCCGUAUGAAUAUUUUUGUGAACCUGUUGGGAUGGGCUGUUGCCACAGCCAUGGCGUGUGGCUGUCUGUAUGGUUUACACAAUACUAUAAGGCCAGACAACCCUGUCUACCUCUCGAAAGAAGUCACGGCACUAUAUAAUGGAGUCAGUCGCACUGCAUGGGGAGCAGCCGUAUGCUGGGUCAUCUUUGCUUGCUCCACUGGCAAUGGCGGGUUCAUUAACACUUUGUUGUCCUGGAAGGCGUUUGUACCUCUGUCCAGACUGACAUACUGUGCCUAUUUGGUACAUCCUCUGGUUAUGUAUGUCUAUUAUUACAACUGGAACUUCCCUCUGUAUAUGACCGAUCUGGACUUUGUAUACAUCUUCCUCGGCAAUCUAAUGGUGUCUUAUGGAAUCGCUUUUAUUGUUUCGAUCGCGUUUGAAUCGCCUUUUAUGGGUCUUGAGAAAAUCAUGUUUGGUGGUCUUGGUAAAAAAAAGAAGUGACGUAGAACAUACACUGGUUUAUGACGUGUCGUAUUUUAUUCCGGUUACUGAUAUGCAUGAUAAUCUGUUAGUAUUCAACAAAGUGCAUCGAAACGGAGACAUAAAGUAUUUGAACAAAAUAUUAUCAAUAAAAGUAAUCUCUAUAGUCUGACCGCAAGCAAAUAACAUAACUUGUAAAAAUAGGUGAUUGUUUUUAAUUUCAAAAACAAAACUUGAAUAAUAAAAUGAAAUCAC
rnacentral:misc_RNA from 1 species